CAAGCGACGGCGACGGGAGCAAGGGUCCAGCUCCGGCGAUCGUCGAUCUCGACCCAGGGGAGCAGUCGCCAGCACAGAUCCGGACGUGGGUGAUUUUCUCCAGCCCUAGGUGAGAGCGCUGAUCUUCUCUCGGCGUCGUCGGCGCAGAUCGGAGCUCGGAGCAUAAGGGUUCCGAUCCUCUCCUCCUCUGGUUUCCUUCGAUCUCCGACGUCUCUUCUAAUCGACUGCCCACGCCCCUGGAUCGAUCUAGAUCCGCUCGAUCCCCGGCAUAGGUCCAUCGCCGGUGCUUUUCCAUUUGGAUCGUUGCUUCGUGAGAGCAGAUCGCUGAUCAAGAAGGGAGGUCUUAGCCCUAGCCUCGACCUUUCCUCUUCGACGCCGGCUUGGAUCUACUGUCUUGUGUUCUAGCUUCCAUUUCGCACACGUAGGUUGUGCUGUUCUGGUGGUGGACAGCAGCUCGAUCCGGGCAGAGAGGAGGCUCUGUUCCUUUUGAUUGAGUGCUGUGGAUUAGUAUGCAUG